rnacentral:lncRNA from 1 species
UCUUCCUCAACCUCGUCUUCUGCGGUCAGGUCUCCGGUUGCUCCCCGCCUGCCGCCGCGGGGAUUGGUGUCUCCAUCAGGCGGCGCUACUCUCCGCUUCACAGUUGGAGGACCGCGGCGAAAACUAUCCCACUCUCCCACAGGCCACUCGAAAGCCGGACUCCUCCUUCCGCGCCGUUUCACCGCCUUCUCUCCGCCGUCUCCUCCUCUUCCCCAAAUCCUCG